AUGGACCUCUUAAAGUCUGCAGCUGUAGACUGACUAUUUUGACUUCUGACUAAAUGCAAGUAGUCUACCAUCGCUGGUCACUGUAGUUAUUGAUGGUGCAAGCUCUCAUCACCAGCUUAUAAUAUAAGAAAGAUGAGAAAUAAGCAGGUUUUCCAGAAGCCUUAGAAUUGUAGUGACCAGCUACAUGUGUAUGUGUUUGUGCAUCCUUAGUAUGUGUUUGUGCAUCCUUCCAAGAAAUUCUGUUUCGCUAGACCAGGCUGCCCAGAGUCACAUCUAGCCUUGCCUUGAAUACCUCCAGCAAUGGGGCACCACCCAUAUUGCUUUUAUUGAAAUGUAUAUUGGUAUUUUCUUGCAAGUGUGCUGAAUUUAUAUUAGAUGAGCUAAGUGGGGCUACUCUGUCUUCUAUUUCCUUGUAUUUAUAAUUACAUUUAUUAAAAUCUGCUGCAUUGUAGGUGCUAGAAUACAGAUAACUAAAAAUACAGUUGUUAAGACAAAAUGAUAAAAAAUUAUAUCACAUAAUGAAACAAAUUGCUUUAGCAUUUGGUAUGAUGUGGAUCUUUUUUUUUAUAACAAGACACAAAAUUCACAGCAUAACAGUUUCUCUCAAAUCCCAAGCUAUUGCUCUGCUUACUGAUAGGUAGGUUAUGCAACACCUGUUAGAACACUGAGGCACCGCUUCAUCCUACUUGGUAUUCCUUUUUUGUUCUGAUGUCACCCUUUCUAUCUUGCUCUUGCUCCAUAGACUCCAUAACAAUCUGGUAUCAGGAAGUUCUUGAUUAGGCAAGUGUUUUAGGGUCACGGUCGUAAUUAAGUCCAUACCUUGAUUGCUUAAUUUUCUAAGUGGAAAUUCUAUCUUUUUUUUUUUUCCUCUUGAAGACCAAAUUUUACUUUGUGUUAAAGACUUCUCAGUUUCAUUAUGUUGUAACCAGAAUGCCUUAUUGCAAAAGAUUGCAAAGCUUAUUAAUUAUCUUUACUAUUUACUUUCAUCUGCAUAUAAAAAAUGCCGGCGGUGGACUGUGAUUGCUUUGCUAUGAACAGUUUCCUAUCUAAUUGUAUACCAUCUCAGCCCUGUGUUAGUUUCACCCUAACAUUAAUUUUACCCUAACAUUCGCAGUUGUUACUGCAGUGAAUCAACAGAUCAGCUGGAGAAGUUAUUUGUAUGUACAUAUGUGUACAUGUACAGUAAUUCAUAUGUUCAUGUGUGGAUACAUAUGACAGGGCUUAUGCCUAUGGUUCAUUGACCAGUACCAGCCAUUUAACUACUCACAUAAUCAUUAUCAAAGAAAAUACUGUGAAAAAGUACUCUUUCACAGUACUUGAAAGAGUAGAAACCAAAGCAUAACAUUCAGGUUUGCUUCUUGAAAUACCUGAGCAUCUAUCAUACAUUUUGUGAGCGUGAAGAAUAUUACUAUUUUAUGAUGAAUUAAUUACCGAUGCAACAAAAAGAAAGCAGAGCAUAGCUUGCUCAAGAACUGCUGAUCCAAUCCAUUUCCCAUGCCGAAAGGCAGGAUCAGUUAUAAUUAAACCAAUGCUGACGUGUUUGUCUAGCCUUUGGUAUAGCAUCUUUGCCACUGGAGAUCUUUCCAAAGUAAUGCGUGCCAGUGCUUCACUGUCAUUAUGAUUGGAUAAUAAUUCUUUUUUUUCUUAAUGUCUUUUUUAAAUCUUCAGUGCUCAGUGUGAAGGACAUGACUUAGAUUGUCCUUUUCCUCUCACCAGCAAACUAUCUUAUAACUGUAUGGUCUUGUUUCUAGACUUUGUACUGUAUUUCAUUAGAAGUCAAUGUUUUCUACACCUUUCUUCUUGUUGCUUGCUUGAACCCUGUCACAUUAAGUGUGGUUUACAAAACUGAAUAGAAGGUCUUAAAAUGUGUCUGAAAACAGCAAUCUUUGUUUCAUCUUUUUUGGCAAUGUCACAAAUUUAAUAGCAUAUUUGUCUUAUCCUCUUCAAAUGCUUUUUUUUAUAAAUGGUAAUUAUUUAAUAUAGUAUAGUAACCAAUGAUUAAAGAGCUAUUAAAACUAAUAUCAAACUAACAACGGUGUUUAAUCUGACACACUAUCUUUUUUCUUCAUUUUAGGUUUAAAAAUGGUUGAAGAAUUAACCAGAUUUCUACCUCUUGGCAAUGACUGAUUAUUCCAGUAGAUUUAUUUUUGGGGUCAUAAUGGAAAACAGGGUUAGAGUUUUGGAUUCGUUUGAGUGCUGGGAUAAAGUUACCCCGGGUUAUGAAGGCUGUGAUCAUUGUGAUCAGCCAACUCCAACUACCGGAAGGAGGAGCAAAAGCAUCCCUGUCUGCAGGUCCGUAAUACUGAUUGUUGUAUCUGGUAAUGCUUCUAUAACUCUAUUUCUCAUCCCCCUACAGAACACGAAAAUAAACAGCCUGUUAGCGUUAAACAUUUACAAGGUUAUAUCCUUGAGAAGGCAAUAAUGUAAUUACACAGUGGGCUGCGGCUUUAGUAUGGUUAUAUUAUCUUUGUUUUAGUUUUGAGAAAUGAUUGGUUACUUUCUCACUUUAAGUGGGAUACUGGGGACUUAAAGUUUGCUUUUCAGAUGAGGCCAAAAGAAGCCUUAGAAUAAUUGUAUAUUCCCACUGAAGUGCAGCAGGUGACAGAGCAGGGGGCAUGCAGCCACUGGUCCACUGCCAACAGUUACAGGGACUCUUCAAGGCCUGAAAAAGCACAGUGCAGCAAGGACAGGCUCUCAAGUUGUCAAAGAGCAAGAAAGCCAGGCUUAAGAAAUAACAGUACCAGGUAAUCUCUACAUGAAUAGCAGAAAAUUGGUUUUGCUGUUGUUUACCAUAAAUUCCCCUCUACUCUAGACUUCUAAUGUCCUUUUUCCACCACUCAAGCUAAUAACCUAUUUGUACUUAUAAAUAUCUCAAGCAGCAAGUAAAUGACAUUUCCAUACCAUCUGUCCAUCUCCCUCCCCUCUCCAUAUCAACAAUAACGAGGCAAUACUGUUCCCCCACCACCAGCAAAUGUAGUUACUGUGGUAACCUCACGCAGUACCCCUCUGAGCUGCUGCCUCCCCAAAUGAACCUUGCUGUAUCCUUCACUGGAAGACUACAGUAGCAAGUUAAUUCCUGUCUUUUCCUCAAAAGUAUGGAACCAAUAAAUGCACUUAAAACUUGUCGGUUUAGAAUUAAUUGGGCAUCUAAUUACAUAGCACCCUGUUUGCCUCCCACAAAAACCUUUGCCUCACUGAGACUGUGCAGGGGCAGAACGAAAUUGAGGGUGGUAUCUGUAAUCCUCACCAUUUCUUCGCUUGACUGGUGACCUAAAUAAAACUUUCAGUAUUAGGUUUUUCCAAGAUGUAAUUUAUACUAUGGCUGUCAGGAGUUAAGAUAGCAGUUGCCAUGGAGCUUUAAUCUUUUUUUAGGCUUUAGUCAAAGGAAGCUGGAAGUCUGCAUGGUGAGUAGAGCCCUGCUCAACUGAAUUUUAUUUAAAUUGGGACAGGAUUUUACCCUAAUUUUCCUAGUGGAAUUUAUUCUCAAAAGUUCUCAAAUUCAUUUUAGUCUAUUCUUUUUCUCAGCGGGAGAUGAGAGUUUCCUUUUAGGCUUCUGAAAUCACGUUACAUUCAAACACAGAAGUAACCCAUUACUUCCCUUCUCCUCCAACUAUAAGCAGUAACUUUCCACGUGUCUGAAACUAGCAGCUUACCACUGGAGUGAAUUCACUUACCAGUUCUACCAUUUUCAGUGGAAGUGUUCUAUAACAACAAAACAUUUGGGAGGAAUUUGUUUUCCACGUGCCCGGUAAGUGCUACUCCCUCCACUGUAAAAUAGGCUGUUGGUAAAGGAGAAGUAAUUACAUUUGAAUCUCUGUAUAUGCUAUUUAUAACUUACUUGAUGUAUAUUUAAGAAAAACAGAAGUGUGCAGUGGAUGAAGUACCUCUUUGAGAAAUACAAAACUGGCCAUGCUACAGUCAGUGACAUUCUAAUAGAAUGCAGUGCUGUCUUCUUAUUUCUUGCUGUUUGCAGCAGAACAGAGAUGCGAGUUCAGUCUAAUGUCUGCAAUUAAAACUUUAAAUGUUCCCUACUUUGUAAACCAAAAGAAUGCAAGAUGAUGAAGAUUUGGGUAUUCUGUUUCUAAGCUGUAACAGACGAGUUGCUUUUUCUUUGCACAUACUUUUUCUUUUUUUCCUUAAGAGCCAAUGACUAAAUAGGGUGCCUUCUGGGACUAAUACAUAUGUCACUUGAGCUGAAAACAAGAUUCAGCAAGAGCUACCAAGAUAGUAUUAGCUUUGACAUAUGCAACAGAAGAAUUUCAGUCAUACAGCCUGACACGAUAAAGCGUCUUCAGGAUCUGGAGGAGCUUUUAUCAUUGCUCUGUUAGAUACAGGUAUGCCAGAUAGCACAGAGGGGGGAAAAAAAAACUACGUUAAAUUGCAGCAUUUAAAGCAAAAAGGGCUUUUAUACUAAACCUAUGGAAUUUUCUUCAAACUGAGGUGCCAGUAUCAAAAGCUUACUGAGCUACUAGAGAUAAAAGACAUGUAUACAGAUGAGAGGGAGAAAGAACUCGAGGCCCUUAACUUUGCUAAUGUGGCAGUUGCUAUAUUUUUCUCCAAGACAGACUGGUUGGACUUUAGGGGAAACCGAACAGGGCACAGUUCAGUCCAACUGAGUCUAAAGAACAGAAUCCCAGAUUAAGACUUUAAAUCUGGUCUGUUACUGUCAGCAGUGGUACAAGUUAUGGCGGUGCCAAACUGCUCUCUUUCAUGAAUUCAGGUGAACAGUAAUAUCUUCUUUCAAGCUGAAACUAGUGACCUUCCAAUGGAGACAUCUUCAGAGUUAGCAAAUGCCAUCUUCUUUACAGAGGCCUCAUUCUUAGAUCAAUUCAGGGAAAAUUGGGCUUUUCACUUACCAAUCUUCCAUACAAGCUUCAAGACUUGGCAGUAGCACAUUCACCAGUUUGGAAUGUAUAGGUAAUACAUUUGGCUGGGAAACCGUUAAAAGUAGCUUAAGUAAUUAUUGUGCUUUUUAGCAAUUAAUAGGUAUGAACACAUAACGGCACGCAGAAGACUACAUUUAAGGUAUUUGUACCUAUUGUAACUGAUAAUCAACCACAUUUGAAUUCAGGUACCUUACACAAUAGAUUAAAGUAAGACACAGCAACUGGAGGAGCUGUCUGUGGAUCUGGCACAGUGUUCAAGACCAGCCCAGAAAAAUGCAGUAAGUGCUGGAGAUACCAAAAUGGCCUCACAAUAUAGGUAGUAAAUACAAUUAAAUGGCUCAUCUUGCCUUCAAAACACUAUGCUUUCUAUUAGGCUUUUUUUUUUCUCUCUCUUUGGUGUAAAGUUUGAUUAAAUGACUGCGUUGUCAGGAUUACACAGAUCCAUGGGACAGUGAUCAAGAAACACUCUUGAUCUGGUGCCAUUCUUCAUAAAUAGUUUAUGAGGACCUUUUGCUGCUGAUGAAUUCCUGUUACUUCAAAACUGAGAGGCAAAAAACAACAUACAAGUGUACCAUAUUUUCAUAAACUCAAAACAAAAGCUAAGCUUGACCUCUGAUCCACACUGAAUUAAGAUGAAGUGUUAAUUUUCACACAGGGAGCAGUUUCCUUUUCUAUCCGUAUACACUUCUAUCAACCCCCAGUUUGUUGCCCAGAUUUUUUUGUAAGAAGCUCAUUUUGCUUCACGAUAGGCAAUACACAUUUUCAAGCUUACCUGAUUUAAUAGCAUUUACUUUAACUUCACUAGUGAGAUACUUGCUUGUCAGAAAAGGAGUGCAACAUCAAGAAGCAACGUAUGAGUUCUCCACUUACCUUUGGUUUCAUAGUAGCAUCUCGCGUGUCUCCAGUAAUUACCAUUGAACUUGUACAAAAACAGAUGUAAAACCAUGAAACCUGGACUGGGGUAAAAAAGGCAGUGAAAUGCCAAAUACCAGAUGGCAUCAGGUCUUUUGUCAUGGAGGCUUUAGCAAUGAUUUUGGAGUAUUUAGAAGCGGUCAUUUUAGAUGCGCCCAUGUAUAUUUGAGGUACCUUGCUGACCUGCUUAUAAACUAGUACUGAAUUACUGCUGCUUUUGAGUGAUCCUGGGUAUUACAAAAGCAAAUGCUGUUUCCCCAGCAUAUCUUCACUGGGAACUUUAAGAAUUCACACACCCUACCAGAAGGGCUGUUAGCGUAAAAUAUCUCCAAUGCAGGGAUGCUUUCUUUAUUUGAACCACUUUGAAACAAUCUAAGCUUUUCUUUCUGUAACACCACAGCAUACACUGUUCAUACCUCACCAAUUACUUCAGGUGAUCAUAUAAGGCUCCUGAACUCUCUUCUUCUGUCUUCAAGCAAGUAUUCUUGAUAUGCCCAGUAGAAAUUCAAGCAUAGCUUUCAAGAUAAAUUAGUAAUAUUAAUAGUUACAAUUUCACUGUUAAUUUGUUACUGUAAUUUCAGUGUUUUCUUGAAUGGGUGUGUUUUCUGUCUGUUUUUGUUUUAAUGCUAGCGAGCAUCACCAUUCUAUAUGCACUGCUUACUGCAGUACAACGCUCCCCUGUGAAGCUGGUCCACAUAAUAAAACUAAAAUUUUAGA